CCUACGGGAGGCUGCAGUGGGGGAUAUUGCACAAUGGGGGGAACCCUGAUGCAGCGACGCCGCGUGGGUGAAGGAGCGUUUCGGCGCGUAAAGCCCUAUCGGCAGGGAAGAAGGAGGACGGUACCUGACUAAGAAGCCCCGGCUAACUACGUGCCAGCAGCGGCGGUAAUACGUAGGGGGCAAGCGUUAUCCGGCUGUACUGGGGGUAAAGGGGGCGCAGACGGCAGCGGAAGCCAGGAGGGAAAGCCCGGGGCCCAACCCCGGGACUGCUCUUGGAACUGCGCGGCGGGAGGGCAGGUGGGGCAGGCGGAAUUCCUGGUGUAGCGGUGAAAUGCGUAGAGAUCAGGAGGAACACCGGUGGCGAAGGCGGCCGGCUGGACUGCGACUGACGUUGAGGCCCGAAAGCGUGGGGAGCAAACAGGAUUAGAUACCCCAGUAGUC
rnacentral:rRNA from 1 species